UUAACUGAAACCAAAAAGAGGUAUAUUAUUGUUAAUAAUAUAAUUGAAUAAAGAAUUCCAGUUAAG
rnacentral:tRNA from 1 species